rnacentral:rRNA from 1 species
CUUGGUCAUUUAGAGGAAGUAAAAGUCGUAACAAGGUCUCCGUAGGUGAACCUGCGGAGGGAUCAUUACCGAGUGAGGGCCCCUGGCCCGACCUCCAACCCUGUGUUGACCACCUGUUGCCUCGGGGGCGACCCGGCCUCCGCGCCGGGGCCCCCGGUGGACCACACCAACUCCGUAUCUAUACGUCGGAGUAAAACGUAAAUCAAUCAAAACUUUCAACAACGGAUCUCUUGGUUCUGGCAUCGAUGAAGAACGCAGCGAAAUGCGAUAAGUAAUGUGAAUUGCAGAAUUCAGUGAAUCAUCGAAUCUUUGAACGCACAUCGCGCCCUUUGGCAUUCCGAGGGGCAUGCCUGUUCGAGCGUCAUUACACCACUCAAGCCUGGCUUGGUAUUGGACGUGGAGGUAUCGCGAGUUGCUCCCGUCCCAAUUUCAGUCCGGCUGGACGACCCGAUUCUCAGCGUUGUGGCAUUCAGUGCGCCGACGAGGAGGGUGGUCCACGCCGUUAAACUUCCAUCAAGGUUGACCUCGGAUCAGGUAGGGAUACCCGCUGAACUUAAGCAUAUCAAUAAGCGGAGGA